CUGGAAAUCAUCUUGACUGAAGACCACCAAUGGCAGCAGUUCAUUUGGGUACAGCAGCAAGCAUCAGUUAAAUACCUAUCAACAUAGCUGGGCUUGGCUUGCUAUCAGAGGAGGUGGAGAAUGUGCCUUCCUGAAUGACAAUGGAGUCAACAGUGGCAGAAUCUACAUGAACAGAAAAUGGAUUUGUAGCAAGCCAAACAAUUAUGUCUACAGUUGCCAGUUAUGUCCCCACUGGGAUACUACCUAGUAGAGCUGUGAGAAGAGGGCCACCAUCCUCCAGACUCCAGAAUGGUGGAAUCAUCAGCAGCUUCCACCAUGCCCCUGGAAAAACUGCAAGUAACAGACCUGCACAUGUAUCCCCUACAUCUAAAAUAAAAGUUGGAAAAAAUGGAACUUUAAUGUUAAGAUGCACUGAUACAAAACUUAAAUUUUGGUCUACUACAUUAAAACAAUAUGAGUCUCUUAAAAUAUUGAUUUGUUCUUAG
rnacentral:lncRNA from 1 species